rnacentral:tRNA from 1 species
GGCCCAGUGGCCAAAUGGAUAAGGCACCAGCUUCCGGAGCUGGAGGUUGUGGGUUCGAGUCCCAUCUGGGUCU